rnacentral:rRNA from 1 species
AGCGAACGCUGGCGGUAGGCCUAACACAUGCAAGUCGAACGGCAGCACAGUAAGAGCUUGCUCUUACGGGGGGCGAGUGGCGGACGGGUGAGGAAUACAUCGGAAUCUACGUUUUCGGGGGGGAUAACGUAGGGAAACUUACGCCAAUACCGCAUACGACGCACGGGGGAAAGCAGGGGAACGUCUGAGCUGGCGCGGUUGAAUGAGCCGAUGUCGGAUUAGCUAGUUGGCGGGGUAAAGGCCCACCAAGGCGACGAUCCGUAGCUGGUCUGAGAGGAUGGUCGGCCACACUGGAGCUUGGACACGCUCCUUGCUCCUGCGGGAGGCAGCAGUGGGGUAUAUUGGACAAUGGGCGCAAGCCUGGUCCAGCCAUCCCGCGUGUGUGGAGACGACCUUCCGGUUGUAAAGCCCUUUUGUUGGUAGUGAACAGCAUCCGGUUAUUACCCAGCUGUUCUGACGGUACCCGGUGAAUAAGCACCGGCUAACUUCGUG